AGAGUUUGAUCCUGGCUCAGAAUCAACGCUGGCGGCGCGCUUAACACAUGCAAGUCGAGCGAGAAAGUGGAGCAAUCCAUGAGUAAAGCGGCGUACGGGUGAGUAACACGUGGAUCAUCUACCUUUUAGUGGGGGAUAACCCUGGGAAACCGGGGCUAAUACCGCAUAAGCUUAUCGGGAAAGCAGCAAUGCGCUGAAAG
rnacentral:rRNA from 1 species